rnacentral:rRNA from 1 species
GACGAACGCUGGCGGCGUGCUUAACACAUGCAAGUCGAACGGUGAAGCGCCUUCCUUUUUGGUGGGUGUGGAUGAGUGGCGAACGGGUGAGUAACACGUGAGUAACCUGCCCCCUUCUUCUGGAUAACCGCAUGAAAGUGUGGCUAAUACGGGAUAUUCUGGGUCUGUCGCAUGAUGGGUCUGGGAAAGAUAUUGUUUCGGUGGGGGAUGGGCUCGCGGCCUAUCAGCUUGUUGUUGGGGUGAUGGCCUACCAAGGCGGUGACGGGUAGCCGGCCUGAGAGGGUGGACGGUCUCACUGGGACUGAGACACGGCCCAGACUCCUACGGGAGGCAGCAGUGGGGAAUAUUGCACAAUGGGGGAAAGCCUGAUGCAGCGACGCCGCGUGAGGGAUGGAGGCCUUCGGGUUGUGAACCUCUUUCGCCAGUGAAGCAGGCCUGCCUCGUUUGUGGGUGGGUUGACGGUAGCUGGAUAAGAAGCGCCGGCUAACUACGUG